AUGAGGAAAGAGGUGGUUAUUGAAACAAGUAUUACCAGUGUGGGCACACAUAAGCUGAUAUUUGGAAGAGGGACCACUCUCACAGUUGAACCAAAUAUCCAAAACAUUUCUGUCCCACAAGUCAUUUUGAUGAAAUCAAAGAAACUGGAUGAAGAUGACAGCACUGGAAAAGCAGCUUGUUUGGCAAGGAAUGUCUAUACAAAGAAAAUCAGCUUGAACAUGUCCUCUAAUGAAGUCGUAUAUGAACCAAGUGCAUCCGUUUUGACAUCAGAGGGGUUGUACAAUACUAUUAAGGUGGUCAGCAUGACAAAAGGCACAGAGUUGACCUGCACAGCCAAAUUCAACGGCAGCACAAUCACAACCAGCACAAGCUUGCCAGAAAAGGAUGCUGAAGACCCAGAAAUGGGGAAGGUUUGCAACACCACAGACACCUCUGCACAAGGUACUAAAGUGGAAAAAGCAAACAUGCUGUCUAUGGCUGUGUUGGGUUUGAGAGUCCUGCUGGCAAAAAGCAUCGCCUUCAACACACUCAUGAGUAUCAAAUUGUUUCUUUUCUGA